rnacentral:lncRNA from 1 species
GGGUGGAAACGAGCCGAGCUCGAGCGAGCUUAUGUCAGCUCAAAUUCGGCUUGAAAUUAAUUUCGAGCCUAAAUCUAGGCUCAAGCUCGGCUUGCAAUUAAUUCGAGCGAGCUCGAGCAAGCCUAAUUUCGAGUCGAGCCGAGCUCGAGCUCUAAACGAGCCGAUUGAAAUUCUCGACAUUAUAUAAUCAAUAGUUUAAUUUUUAUAGAACAUUACCUACAAUUUGAUGCAACAUGUCCAAUAGUUCAAAAUACAAAAUAAUUAUAAGAAAUAUGAGCUAGGGUGACUUCCUGACUAGAUAAGGGUAAUUUGAAUGUUAUCAUGUUUUAGGAUUAUGUGCAACAGUGAAAGUCUGAAAGAGAGAGUGCGUUAUGUAAAUUUAGAGUUAGGCUUAAUUGCACGGUUGUACUUGUUGGGUUUAUUUUAUGGGCCAACAAUAAUGGAUCAAAUUAAAUUAAAGCCUAUCUAUAAUUAAAAUACAUUAUAUUUAUAAAUAUUAUAUAUAUAUAUAGAGUCCGGCUACUAUACUUUUAUGAGUAUUGGCUCCUUUAUACUCAUAGCCCCCGUUUGGUUCGGGGUUAAGAAAAAAUAGCUAUUCCAGGGAUAGGGUUAAGUUCAGGGUUAUAUGGUGUUAAAAUUUUUUUGUGUUUGGUUGGAGGUUGGAGUUAGUCUAGGAUAGUGAAAAAAAGUGUUUGGUUGGAGUAGGUGGGAUAAGAAGAUAAUGAUUGAUAAAGAAGAAAAAGGUGAGAGCUCGGGAUGCGUGCGGGGUUAAAGUUGGGAGGGGGAGUGGGGUUAAUGAUUGAUAAAGAAGAAAAAGGUGAGGGCUCGGGAUGCGUGCGGGGUUAAAGUUGGGAGGGGGAGUGGGGUUAAUGAUUGAUAAAGAAGAAAAAGGUGAGAGCUCGGGAUGCGUGCGGGGUUAAAGUUGGGAGGGGGAGUGGGGUUAAUGAUUGAUAAAGAAGAAAAAGAUGAGAGCUCGGGAUGCGUGCGGGGUUAAAGUUGGGAGGGGGAGUGGGGUUAGUAAACCUCACUAACCCGGUUUGGGGUGGGGUUUACUAACCCGAUCCCAAAAGAGUGGUGUUUGGGUAUAAAUUGGGGGUUAAGGGGUUAUCCACCCCUUAACCCCCAAUCAAACGGUGGCAUAAGUUUUCGACCCUUAGAUUUAUUCCAUUAAUCAUUUUCAUCCGUUAGAUCAUACUAUUUAACCAACUACCCACUCAACCCUAGGGGACCACUAUCAUUCUAAGUGGGGACCACCAUCAUCCUAACCACACAUCUCAUCAAUCAACGGUUAAAAAUUUAUGAGUACAAAGGGGUCUAUACUUAUAAGAGUAUAGUAGUCCCAGCCUAUAUAUAUAUAUAUAUAUAUAUAUAUAUAUAUAUAUAUAUAUAUAUAUAUAUUCGAGCUUUUCGAGCUUUUCGAGCCUAAUUCGAACGAGCCGAGUAAUACUCAAGCUCGGCUUGAAAUGAAUUUCGAGCCUUUUAUUUUGUUCAAGCUCGGCUCAUUUAAUUUCGAGUCGAGCUCGAGCGAGCCAAAUAUCGAGCCGAACACGAGUCGAACGCGAGCCGGCUCGCUCGUUUGCC